AUUGAACGCUGGCGGCAUGCCUAACACAUGCAAGUCGAACGGUAACAGGGGCUUCGGCCCGCUGACGAGUGGCGGACGGGUGAGUAACGCGUAGGAAUCUUCCCAGUAGCGGGGGAUAGCUCGGCGAAAGACCGGAUUAAUACCGCAUACGCCCCACCGGGGAAAGGACAGGGGAGUCGUGAGACCUUGCACUAUUGGAUGAGCCUACGUCUGAUUAG
rnacentral:rRNA from 1 species